rnacentral:rRNA from 1 species
GCCUACGGGGGGCAGCAGUGGGGAAUAUUGCACAAUGGGGGAAAGCCUGACGCAGCGACGCCGCGUGAGGGAUGAAGGUCUUCGAAUCGUAAACCUCUGUCAGCAGGGAAGAACGGUCACUGUGCUAAUCAGCAGUGAAUUGACGGUACCUGCAAAGGAAGCACCGGCUAACUCCGUGCCAGCAGCCGCGGUAAUACGGAGGGUGCGAGCGUUAAUCGGAAUUACUGGGCGUAAAGCGCUCGUAGGCGGUAUGUCAAGUCAAGGGUGAAAUCCCCGCGCUCAACGUGGGAACUGCCUUUGAAACU